AGUGAACGCUGGCGGUAGGCCUAACACAUGCAAGUCGAACGGCAGCACAGUAAGAGCUUGCUCUUACGGGUGGCGAGUGGCGGACGGGUGAGGAAUACAUCGGAAUCUACUUUUUCGUGGGGGAUAACGGAGGGAAACUUACGCUAAUACCGCAUAUGACCUACGGGUGAAAGCAGGGGAUCUUCGGACCUUGCGCGACUGAAUGAGCCGAUGUCGGAUUAGCUAGUUGGCUGGGUAAAGGCCCACCAAGGCGACGAUCCGUAGCUGGUCUGAGAGGAUGAUCGGCCACACUGGAACUGAGACACGGUCCAGACUCCUACGGGAGGCAGCAGUGGGGAAUAUUGGACAAUGGGCGCAAGCCUGAUCCAGCCAUACCGCGUGGGUGAAGAAGGCCUUCGGGUUGUAAAGCCCUUUUGUUGGGAAAGAAAAGCAGCAGGUUAAUACCCCGCUGUUCUGACGGUACCCAAAGAAUAAGCACCGGCUAACUUCGUG
rnacentral:rRNA from 1 species